GGAGAAACAGAUAAAGACAACGAUAAAGAUAACAAAGAAACAGUAUCAGAUGGGAUGUCAGAUGUAUAUGAAAUACUUGACAGUCGAAAUGUUUGGAAGAGAAUUGAGAACGGGACUCGACCACAACACACAACGAGUCUUCAAUCUGAUAAUAAAAAUAUGGAAUUAAAUCUGGAGGACAAACAGCUAGAAGAGGAUAUGUCCCAGGUUAAUAUCAGUGAAAUGAAAGUACGCUAUUGGACAGAUGAAGUCAGGGAUUGGUUUGUUG